AUUGAACGCUAGCGGGAUGCCUUACACAUGCAAGUCGAACGGAGUGGCGAACGGGUGAGUAAUGUAUCGGAACGUGCCCAGUAGCGGGGGAUAACUACGAGAAAGCGUAGCUAAUACCGCAUACUAUUGGUUCGGCCGAUAUCGGAUUAGCUAGUAGGGGGGGGAACGACUCACCAUGGCGACGACCCGUAGCUGGGUUGAGAGGACGACCAGCCACACUGGGACUGAGACACGGCCCAUACUCCUACGGGGGGCAGCAGUGGAGAAUUUUGGGCAAUGGGGGAAACCCUGAUCCAGCCAUCCCGCGUGUGCGAUGAAGGCCUUCGGGUUGUAAAGCACUUUUGGCAGGAAAGCGGUACCUGCAGAAUAAGCACCGGCUAACUACGUGCCAGCAGCCGCGGUAAUUC
rnacentral:rRNA from 1 species